UACGUAGGGAGCAAGUGUUGUCCGGAUUCACUGGGUGUAAAGGGUGCGUAGGCGGGACAAUAAGUCAGUGGUGAAAUCUUACGGCUCAACCGUGAAACUGCCAUUGAUACUGUUGUUCUUGAGUUCGGGAGAGGUUGAUGGAAUUCCAGGUGUAGCGGUGAAAUGCGUAGAUAUCUGGAAGAACACCAGUGGCGAAGGCGGUCAACUGGCCCGAAACUGACGCUGAGGCACGAAAGCGUGGGAUAGCGAA
rnacentral:rRNA from 1 species